rnacentral:rRNA from 1 species
AUUGAACGCUGGCGGCAGGCCUAACACAUGCAAGUCGAACGGUAACAGAAAGCAGCUUGCUGCUUUGCUGACGAGUGGCGGACGGGUGAGUAAUGUCUGGGAAACUGCCUGAUGGAGGGGGAUAACUACUGGAAACGGUAGCUAAUACCGCAUAACGUCGCAAGACCAAGGAGGGGGACCUUCGGGCCUCUUGCCAUCGGAUGUGCCCAGAUGGGAUUAGCUAGUAGGUGGGGUAAAGGCUCACCUAGGCGACGAUCCCUAGCUGGUCUGAGAGGAUGACCAGCCACACUGGAACUGAGACACGGUCCAGACUCCUACGGGAGGCAGCAGUGGGGAAUAUUGCACAAUGGGCGCAAGCCUGAUGCAGCCAUGCCGCGUGUAUGAAGAAGGCCUUCGGGUUGUAAAGUACUUUCAGCGGGGAGGAAGGGAGUAAAGUUAAUACCUUUGCUCAUUGACGUUACCCGCAGAAGAAGCACCGGCUAACUCCGUG